GCUCCCACAAAUAUGAAGGCCAUCGUGGUUCGUGCGCUGCAGAUUCUGGCCCUGAUUGCCUUGGUGGCGGCCGUCACGGGAGCAGCCCUUCAAGAUCAAACCAAAACAGCCGAAUCACGCGGCGAUGUCGGGUUCCUCAAUAAGUUAACGAAACUGCCUCGUGUGGGAGGUUUUAUUGGACAGUUUUUUGAUAGUUUUCAAUAGCCCUUAGAACGGCAUUACUUUAACUUAAAAAACAAUAAUGGUGUUUAACGGAACACACGCUCCCUACCCGUCAGGUUAAAGAAACGCGGUCGGUCAUCUGCCGCUCUACUUCUUUUGCAUUCACACCUUGUCACUCCUAGGGACGCUUGUAGAAUACAUCUGUGCUUGCUGAAAUAAAAUGGUUUGCAAAACCGGACUUGAAAUGCCAAA